AGAAAAGAUAGCUACUAGUGUCUUGAAUUGCUUAGUACAAGGGCUGGAGAGAUGGCUCAGUGGUUAAGAGCACUGACUGCUCUUCCAGAGGUCCUGAGUUCAAAUCCCAGCAACCACAUGGUGGCUCACAACCAUCUGUAAUGGGAUCUGAUGCCCUCUUCUGGUGUGUCUGAAGAGAGUGACAGUGUGCUCACAUACAUGAAAUAAAUCAUUUAAAAAAGGAAUUGCUUAGUAUAAGGAGGUGACCAUGUUCCCUGGUGUAGUUCUUAUGUCUUGAUGGUCCUGAGCAGGUCUUAAGCAGGUUUUUCUAGUCUGCGUCUAAGGGCCCAGUGCUAUCCAUUCUGAAGCUCGUGGCUUAGUGGCGUGGGCUCUGUGGCCUCAUGAGUCACUCGUGGCUAUAAAUUAGAUAAACCUUUCAGAACUCUGACUGACCUACUACAGUGGGAGGCAAAGUCUGAGUCUUGCCCUCACUGUUCUGCUUUCACUGCCUAGAAAUAGAAGCAGUUAGGAGGGUUUAGGCCAAGGCUUCAGGCAUUGCUAAGUCAUGGUGGUUUAGCUUUGCCAGCUCACUUCCCUUUGCUAUUUCAAAAAUCUGGGGCCUGGGCCAGGACCAAGGCCAGGGCCAGGGCCUCUGUGGAUCAGGAGGUCAGAAAUCUGGUAGUGAGCCAAGAACCAGACAAACUAAACUUCUUUUCUGACAGGGCUUCUCCCAGAGGAGGCACUCCAAGAGCAAGACAUUUCUUUUACCCAGUCCCUGGGCUUCACUGUUGUUGCUGCUGUCGGGAAUACGUUAGCCGUGACCCUGAGAAAGCCUUGGCCCUCUGCAUUCCCCGAGAGCUUCUGGUUCUAUGAAUCACACCAGCUUGCUGAGCCGUGCGUCCUUGGUAGGUAGGGAGGUAAGGGCAUCCCAGAACCACUGAUGAAGUGGCAUUUAGUGAUCAGGUGAUGACUGUUCAGUACAGGCUCCAUGGCUGCCACCUCCUGUUCUUAGACAGGACAUGCAGUCCACUGUCCCAGAUGAGUAGGCAUGAAGUCGCUGUCCAGCUUUUUAUGUCUUCCUGUUUUCCUGACAUCAACUGAUGGAAGAUGCCCUGAUUAUCAGACACUAGGACUAGGAUAGAGUUCUGUGUUAGUGUCCUCAGCCUUCCUAGAGCGAGCAUCCACUCUUGUGUGUCAGUGUGAUUUCCAGAACUCCCCAGCUUCCGUUAGAGUCUGUGGUACAUUUCUGGACUUUCUGGAGAGAAGCAUCCCUUCCACUCUCUUUUUCCUGCCCCAAAACAGAGCAAGCUUUUUCCACCUGCCCCUAGUUCAGUAUCUCAGAAGUCAACCAGCCUGGUCUGGCAACCUGCAGCCUAAGACAGGGUCAGAAACCAAAAGAAGGUGGUAACUUUUUGAAUCACAUGCUUCUUGGGAGUUUGCGUUUUAUCUUGUGAGUUUGAAAACUCACACAGCUCAGAAUGCCCUCCCUCUUGAGUUUUUUGCCCUUUGGGCACACUUAGUAGUUCUGAAAAGUGUGACCUUCAGGGCCCAGGUCUCCUGACCCAUCUCUAUCCCACUGGGCUUUGGUACCUGAUACUCUGGCCUCCCUAUCCCUCCAUGUAGCUUUGGUUUGCCAUCUGUCCAGCCACACCUCUUCUUGGCCUCUCCACUGUGGAGGGCCAGGAUCGCCUGUUACGGUAACCAACUCUAAAGCCAGAUUUCCCUUCUUGCUACCCAGACCUCAGACAACAGUGAGUUGUGAGCAACCAAGAUUAAACCUCAGGGUGACACAUUCCCCUGAGCAAACAGUGAAACUGCUGUGGGGACUCAGGGGCUGCUUGUCACCCAGAACACAAAGAUAUGGUUGUCUGUGUAGGCAGGUGGUGGCAGGGUCCUUCCCGACAAGGGUCUUCUGUGACAUCUUUACCCUCUACCUGGGCCCUGAGCACCAGGCACUGGAGAGUCUCCUAGGUGAGGAGGCCUGCAGACAGGCCAUGUCUCUGUGUCGUGUUUCACCUUGGCCCAGCCCACACUGACAGGAGAGCCUCAGAGCAGGGGUCCUUUUCUGGUCUUGCAGCACGGAGGUUGGAGGGCUCCUGGCAGCCACUUGCAGCAAGCAGGGCAGAUAGAGCAGAAAGGCAGAGUACACCGCGUGCUGUGCAAGGUCUUGGGCCUCUAACCUGUUUUUGCUUUUCGUUUUUAUUUUUUGAGAAAACAGUACAAUUAACAAACCUCUUUUGUAAAUGGAUUUCCUUUCUAUGUAUAAAAUCCCUGCAGUUCCUUGUUUUUACAUGUUCAUGCUGUGUAAUUUUGAGAUGUUACUGAGAUUCUGAACAUAAUGUGCAUUUUUUUCUGUACAGAUGAAAUGGGAGAAUUUAAUAAAGAGUUUGCAGGUUUGUA
rnacentral:lncRNA from 1 species